CUUGCAAAUAUCAUUAAUAGGGUAACAUACCCUUCUGAACAUGUCAUCAUGUCAGCCUCUCUGUCAUUUUAAGAUGGAGCAGCGUCUGUCUCCAAGUCUCUCCUCUGUUUCUUAACAUUUAAAAGUACACCUAUUUAUACCUUAGGUGUCUCCAUUUUAGGGUUACAGUAGUUCAUAUAUGAAAAAGUAACUUUUUUCAUUUUAGGACCUCCCUUACCUUGGCAAAAAUACAAGGACAUAACUAAAGGGUGCAUACGUCAUGGAAAUUUUCCUGACUUAGUUCAAGAUGGCAUCUUAAAGUCUGAACAUCCUUAUCUACUAAGGUUACCACAGUAUAUUACGUACUGAAAGAGUCGUAGCAUAGCCUUGAAGCUUGUUUAUGCAUUAUUGUUAUUGUAAUUCGUCUGGGACAAAAUGGUGUAAACAUAAUGUGCACUGUGGUUAUUGCUUAAAGAAACAUGUAUGAAAAACAAUAUGUUCCAUUUCUAACACCUUGUCAGUUUGCAAUAUCUCUUAAAGACAAAGUACACAGUUUAAGAAAUACAACAUUUCAUUCUAAAACUUGUAAUAUUUGCAUUUGCCCAUAACACUCUCUCCAUUAAACUGUGGGCAUUGUAGAGCAUUUCCUCUUUAAAUUAGUAAACCAAAGUUCUCCAACAGUCUUUCGGUUUUUAUGCUCCCAGCAUCUUUGAUCAUUGUUGUAACAGUAAAACAUCUGUAGUGUGAUCUUUGCCUGUAAAGGUGGUUGAUUAAAAUGAGCAAAACUUUUGUCUGGGAAAGAAUCGAAAAGAACACCAAGUUCCAGAGUAAUAUAUUCUUGAAUGGAUCCAGAAUUGUAAUCCAAGGUUAAAAGUAGUAAUUGUAUUUGUAAUCCAAAGUCUUAAAGGCCUGUAGAAGUUUACAUUCCUUAGAUACAUUGCUGGAGGUUGUGUUUGUAGAAUACCCGGGUAUUUGUUGUAGAGUAUAGGUUGUAGAGUCCAGCCUUCCAAAUAUUUGGCUAGAAUUGGUUGCAUAUAUUGAAUCAGCAUCAUCUGUUAUCACCGUGGUGAUGGUGUUGGUAUUUGUCUUUGCUUUUUUUAUUUAGUUUUUUCCAUGAAACAUUUUUUCACCGUUUAUGAUGUGUAUAGAUUGGAUACUCUCCGAUAUUCUUUUACGGAAUAAAUUAAUUGACAGCAUUUCCAAGACAUUGUCUUAAGUGACAUGGAUCCCAUUAUAGUAAAUGUUAUAUUAAUUAUACCACUCUGCAAACUUACACAAAUAUAGAGUAGUUUCUGAUUUAAUAAAGACAGUUCACAUUUUCUUCUAAAGUUUAAACAUUCAUUAUUGCAGUUGUUAUUGUAAUCAUAUGAUCUUUAACUAUCAUGAUUCCAUUAUUCAUCUGGUUAAUUAGCUGUUAUGCUCUUAUACUUUAUGUCUAAUAUAUUUGUUUGUAGGCCAUACUGCAGCUGCAUAUGGCAUUUUAACAAUAAUCUUCAAUUGC